rnacentral:rRNA from 1 species
AGAGUUUGAUCCUGGCUCAGGAUGAACGCUGGCGGCGUGCCUAAUACAUGCAAGUCGAGCGAACGGACGAGAAGCUUGCUUCUCUGAUGUUAGCGGCGGACGGGUGAGUAACACGUGGAUAACCUACCUAUAAGACUGGGAUAACUUCGGGAAACCGGAGCUAAUACCGGAUAAUAUUUUGAACCGCAUGGUUCAAAAGUGAAAGACGGUCUUGCUGUCACUUAUAGAUGGAUCCGCGCUGCAUUAGCUAGUUGGUAAGGUAACGGCUUACCAAGGCAACGAUGCAUAGCCGACCUGAGAGGGUGAUCGGCCACACUGGAACUGAGACACGGUCCAGACUCCUACGGGAGGCAGCAGUAGGGAAUCUUCCGCAAUGGGCGAAAGCCUGACGGAGCAACGCCGCGUGAGUGAUGAAGGUCUUCGGAUCGUAAAACUCUGUUAUUAGGGAAGAACAUAUGUGUAAGUAACUGUGCACAUCUUGACGGUACCUAAUCAGAAAGCCACGGCUAACUACGUGCCAGCAGCCGCGGUAAUACGUAGGUGGCAAGCGUUAUCCGGAAUUAUUGGGCGUAAAGCGCGCGUAGGCGGUUUUUUAAGUCUGAUGUGAAAGCCCACGGCUCAACCGUGGAGGGCCAUUGGAAACUGGAAAACUUGAGUGCAGAAGAGGAAAGUGGAGUUCCAUGUGUAGCGGUGAAAUGCGCAGAGAUAUGGAGGAACACCAGUGGCGAAGGCGACUUUCUGGUCUGUAACUGACGCUGAUGUGCGAAAGCGUGGGGAUCAAACAGGAUUAGAUACCCUGGUAGUCC